rnacentral:pre_miRNA from 1 species
UAAUUUAUUUGUGAUAUAUUUUUAUUUAAUUAUAACAAAUUUAUAUAUAAUUAUUUAGAAUUACCUAUUAUCUCAAUUUCACUAGACAGUAGUGGAUGACAAGAAAAAUAAAAGGAAGACACCUACGAAGGAAGGA